UAUGGUUUCUGGCUACAUAAAUCCAGGCAGAUAUGUCUUUCCCUGAAACCCCAAACUGUGAAGUUUCUUUCAGGUACUGCCUGGGACUUAUGCAGCCAGAAACAAAAAACGCUUACACUGGAGGGUGAGGAGAAAAACAAAAGCAAAAAUCACUGCAACAGGGUUGUAUAAAGGUUCAAACACAGUUUUUCUCCACAAGACUCAACUGAACUGACUGAGAUAACACACAGGUUCUUCACUGGAUUCUCUGGGUUAAGUCUUGCCAGAUUUUUUGGAUUAGGUUAAAUUGCAGUGACUCUGCACCAAAAACCUGAAGCCAUGAAGCUCAAUAAGCUGUGCUGCAAAACCUGGUGCACUCUGUGAGUCCCUGCCUGUACCUGUUCAGGUGUUCACCUACUGUGUUGUCAGUGCUUCCUGUCAGAGCGGGGGGGUGACAGCUCCAAAGAGGUGGAGUUGAACACCAUGGAGGCAUUUUGAAGAAGAUGGACAGUACCAAGGCAGAGCUGUUUAGAGAUGGCAGAUAGAAACUAAAGCCCUCACAGCUAAAGGUGUCUGACCACAACAAUCUUGGUGUUUUGGGUUUUUUUUUGUUUUGUCUGGUUUUGUUUUUUCCUAUGACAGCAGCUGUCCUCAAUCAUUCCUGCUGUUUGCAGGCAGUAAAAAAAUCACACUGGGGAUUUCUUCUGGGAACAGUGAUCCACUUCCUAAUGGGAAUCAAUGACGAGCUGUGCGAGGCCUGGUGCAUCUUCACCCCCCCUCCUGCACCAGAUCGAGCAGCGCUGCGAGCCCGCCAUCCCCUCUCCCCCUAGGUGAGAAGGGGGCACCUGCGAGGGCUGGGGGCACCUGAGGAUGCUGGGGGGCACCUGAGGGGGCUGGGGGGGCACCUGGAGGGAGAUACAGGGUGGUGUGGGGGGUGGGGAGUGCACCUGGAGGUACCUGGAUGGUAUCUGUUUCUGGGGAUGUCUGGGGCGCCUUAGGGGAAACCUGGGGGGGCAACGGGGGGUACUUGGUGCAGGAGUAUAGCCC
rnacentral:lncRNA from 1 species